UACGUAGGGUGCGAGCGUUGUCCGGAUUUAUUGGGCGUAAAGGGCUCGUAGGCGGCGUGUCGCGUCGGGGAGUGAAAGCCCGCUGCUUAACGGCGGGUUGGCUUCCGGUACGGGCAUCGCUGGAGUGCGGCAGGGGAGACUGGAAUUCCUGGUGUAGCGGUGGAAUGCGCAGAUAUCAGGAGGAACACCGGUGGCGAAGGCGGGUCUCUGGGCAGUAACUGACGCUGAGGAGCGAAAGCGUGGGUAGCAAACAGG
rnacentral:rRNA from 1 species